AACGAACGCUGGCGGCAGGCUUAACACAUGCAAGUCGAGCGCCCCGCAAGGGGAGCGGCAGACGGGUGAGUAACGCGUGGGAAUCUACCCAUCUCUACGGAAUAACGCAUGGAAACGUGUGCUAAUACCGUAUACGUCCUUCGGGAGAAAGAUUUAUCGGAGAUGGAUGAGCCCGCGUUGGAUUAGCUAGUUGGUGGGGUAAAGGCCUACCAGGGCGACGAUCCAUAGCUGGUCUGAGAGGAUGAUCAGCCACACUGGGACUGAGACACGGCCCAGACUCCUACGGGAGGCAGCAGUGGGGAAUAUUGGACAAUGGGCGCAAGCCUGAUCCAGCCAUGCCGCGUGAGUGAUGAAGGCCCUAGGGUUGUAAAGCUCUUUCACCGGUGAAGAUAAUGACGGUAACCGGAGGAGAAGCCCCGGCUAACUUCGUGCCAGCAGCCGCAGUAAUAC
rnacentral:rRNA from 1 species